rnacentral:rRNA from 1 species
UACGUAGGGGGCUAGCGUUGUCCGGAUUUACUGGGCGUAAAGGGCGCGUAGGCGGCGCGACAAGUCACUUGUGAAAUCUCUGGGCUCAACCCAGAACGGUCAAGUGAUACUGUCGUGCUAGAGUGCGGAAGGGGCAACUGGAAUUCUUGGUGUAGCGGUGAAAUGCGUAGAUAUCAAGAGGAACACCUGCGGCGAAGGCGGGUUGCUGGGCCGACACUGACGCUGAGGCGCGAAAGCUAGGGGAGCGAACGGG